rnacentral:rRNA from 1 species
GAUCAUGGCUCAGGAUGAACGCUAGCGGCAGGCUUAACACAUGCAAGUCGAGGGGCAGCAUAAUGGUAGUAAUACUAUUGAUGGAGACCGGCGGACGGGUGCGUAACGCGUAUGCAACCUACCCUUUACAGGGGGAUAACACUGAGAAAUCGGUACUAAUACCCCAUAACUAUUCUGGGAGGCAUCUUUCGGAGUUGAAAGCUUUGGUGGUAAAGGAUGGGCAUGCGUUGUAUUAGCUAGUUGGUAAGG